rnacentral:misc_RNA from 1 species
GAUGAAGAACGCAGUGAAAUGCGAUACGUAAUGUGAAUUGCAGAAUUCAGUGAAUCAUCGAAUCUUUGAACGCACAUUGCGCCUUCUGGUAUUCCGGGAGGCAUGCCUGUCCGAGCGUCAUUGCUGCCCUCAAGCACGGCUUGUGUGUUGGGCCUCCGUCCUCCUCCCGGGGGACGGGCCCGAAAGGCAGCGGCGGCACCGCGUCCGGUCCUCGAGCGUAUGGGGCUUCGUCACCCGCUCUUGUAGGCCCGGCCGGCGCUUGCCGACACAUCAAUCUUUUUUCCAGGUUGACCUCGGAUCAGGUAGGGAUACCCGCUGAACUUAAGCAUAUCAAUAAGCGGAGGA